rnacentral:lncRNA from 1 species
GUUUUCACAACUCCUCUUCCUAAACCUCAAUCAUGGGAUUAAUAAUAUACCUGUUUAUUUAUGACCUAAUUGUGACUCUGAUUAAUAAAAGCUGGUGGGAAAGGCCCAUCCAAGAAGCCGAUGGCCAGACUCACACUUAGCUUUCCCACAGCGUAUGAAGCAUCCAUCAGGCAGAGUAUUAAAGAAAUAUAAUAUUUUACUGAUAGACCUGUCCUUUAAAAGGAACGUGUUUUUGGGUGUCAUCAUUUUGGUGUGAAUCAUGUAAGGGUUGGCUGUUUGCUGUUUAAUACACUUUAGUGUCAAGAGACGCACUCAGCUGACUUUUUGCCCACGCAUAUCAUGUAGUCUGGAUUUUUAAGCGACAUUAACAGAAUAGUUUGUGUAGAGAAACCUCAAGUUUCCCCAGCUGUGCCAUGAGUGUAUCUGCAUAUACUCUGGGUAUUGUCAGAGGCAGUGGAUUUGUGAGCUGUCUGGAACUAAAAAUUAGAAUAAAAUCAUUUUCUUGUAUUAC